rnacentral:misc_RNA from 1 species
UACGUAGGGUGCAAGCAUUACUCGGAUUUAUUGGGCGUAAAGGGCGCGUAGGCGGGCUUACAAGUCAGGUGUGAAAUUCCGGGGCUCAACCUCGGAGCUGCAUUUGAAACUAUAGGCCUAGAGGGUAGGCGGAGAAAACGGAAUUCCACAAGUAGCGGUGAAAUGCGUAGAUAUGUGGAAGAACACCGGUGGCGAAGGCGGUUUUCUAGCUUACUCCUGACGCUGAUGCGCGAAAGCAAGGGGAUCGAACAGG